rnacentral:rRNA from 1 species
UGGAGCGAUCAUACCAGCAAUAAUGCACUGGAUCCCAUCAGAACUCCACAGUUAAGCAUGCUUGGGCGAGAGUAGUACUGGGAUGGGUGACCUCCUGGGAAGUCCUCAUGUUCCACCCC